AACCUUAUGGACCUGCGGGCGUAUACCUGCGGAGGGAUCAUUACAAGAAUGGAGGCUGGUCGUGCUUGGUCGCGUCCAGUCCCGCUCCUCACCUUGCCUACUGCACCGUUUGUUUGCUUCCUGGUGGCGGGACGCCAUCAGGAGGGUUUUCAUAAAAGUCUUGUAUAAGCAUUGAUCAUUCUGAUAUACACAAAAUCGUACAACUUUCAACAACGGAUCU
rnacentral:misc_RNA from 1 species